rnacentral:rRNA from 1 species
UACGUAGGGUGCAAGCGUUGUCCGGAUUUAUUGGGCGUAAAGAGCUCGUAGGCGGUCUGUCGCGUCUGCUGUGAAAACUCGGGGCUUAACCCCGGGCCUGCAGUGGGUACGGGCAGACUAGAGUGCGGUAGGGGAGACUGGAAUUCCUGGUGUAGCGGUGAAAUGCGCAGAUAUCAGGAGGAACACCGGUGGCGAAGGCGGGUCUCUGGGCCGUAACUGACGCUGAGGAGCGAACGCAUGGGUAGCGAACAGG